rnacentral:rRNA from 1 species
AGUGAACGCUGGCGGUAGGCCUAACACAUGCAAGUCGAACGGCAGCACAGUAAGAGCUUGCUCUUACGGGUGGCGAGUGGCGGACGGGUGAGGAAUACAUCGGAAUCUACUUUUUCGUGGGGGAUAACGUAGGGAAACUUACGCUAAUACCGCAUACGACCUACGGGUGAAAGCAGGGGAUCUUCGGACCUUGCGCGAUUGAAUGAGCCGAUGUCGGAUUAGCUAGUUGGCGGGGUAAAGGCCCACCAAGGCGACGAUCCGUAGCUGGUCUGAGAGGAUGAUCAGCCACACUGGAGCUGAGACACGGUCCAGACUCCUACGGGAGGCAGCAAUGGGGAAUAUUGGACAAUGGGCGCAAGCCUGAUCCAGCCAUACCGCGUGGGUGAAGAAGGCCUUCGGGUUGUAAAGCCCUUUUGUUGGGAAAGAAAAGCAGCAGGUUAAUACCCCGCUGUUCUGACGGUACCCAAAGAAUAAGCACCGGCUAACUUCGUG